rnacentral:rRNA from 1 species
GAGUAACGCGUGAGCAACCUGCCUAUGACAGUGGGAGUAGCCUCGUGAAACCGGGAUUAAUACCGCAUAAAAUCGUAGAAACACAUGUUUUAACGGUCAAAGAUUUAUCGGUCAUAGAUGGGCUCGCGUCUGAUUAGCUAGUUGGUGAGAUAACAGCCCACCAAGGCGACGAUCAGUAGCCGGUCUGAGAGGAUGAACGGCCACAUUGGAACUGAGACACGGUCCAA